AUUGAACGCUGGCGGCAGGCCUAACACAUGCAAGUCGAGCGGAUGAAGGGAGCUUGCUCCUGGAUUCAGCGGCGGACGGGUGAGUAAUGCCUAGGAAUCUGCCUGGUAGUGGGGGAUAACGUCCGGAAACGGGCGCUAAUACCGCCUACGUCCUGAGGGAGAAAGUGGGGGAUCUUCGGACCUCACGCUAUCAGAUGAGCCUAGGUCGGAUUAGCUAGUUGGUGGGGUAAAGGCCUACCAAGGCGACGAUCCGUAACUGGUCUGAGAGGAUGAUCAGUCACACUGGAACUGAGACACGGUCCAGACUCCUACGGGAGGCAGCAGUGGGGAAUAUUGGACAAUGGGCGAAAGCCUGAUCCAGCCAUGGCGCGUGUGUGAAGAAGGUCUUCGGAUUGUAAAGCACUUUAAGUUGGGAGGAAGGGCAGUAAGUUAAUACCUUGCUGUUUUGACGUUACCAACAGAAUAAGCACCGGCUAACUUCGUG
rnacentral:rRNA from 1 species